rnacentral:rRNA from 1 species
GGGGGGGGGGGGGGGGGGGGCUAGGGCGUGCGAGUCGGGGGGACGGACGAGAAGCGGGCGUCUCUGAUGUUAGCGGCGGACGGGGGAGUAACACGUGGAUAACCUACCUAUAAGACUGGGAUAACUUCGGGAAACCGGCGCUAAUACCGGAUAAUAUUUUGAACCGCAUGGUUCAAAAGUGAAAGACGGUCUUGCUGUCACUUAUAGAUGGAUCCGCGCUGCAUUAGCUAGUUGGUAAGGUAACGGCUUACCAAGGCAACGAUGCAUAGCCGACCUGAGAGGGUGAUCGGCCACACUGGAACUGAGACACGGUCCAGACUCCUACGGGAGGCAGCAGUAGGGAAUCUUCCGCAAUGGGCGAAAGCCUGACGGAGCAACGCCGCGUGAGUGAUGAAGGUCUUCGGAUCGUAAAACUCUGUUAUUAGGGAAGAACAUAUGUGUAAGUAACUGUGCACAUCUUGACGGUACCUAAUCAGAAAGCCACGGCUAACUACGUG